rnacentral:rRNA from 1 species
UACGUAGGGGGCAAGCGUUGUCCGGAUUUAUUGGGCGUAAAGAGCGUGUAGGCGGCCAGAUAGGUCAGCUGUGAAAACUCGAGGCUCAACCUCGAGACGUCGGUUGAAACCAUCUGGCUAGAGUCCGGAAGAGGAGAGUGGAAUUCCCGGUGUAGCGGUGAAAUGCGCAGAUAUCGGGAAGAACACCAGUGGCGUAAGCGAUUACCUGGGCUAGACCUGACGCUGAGGGACGAAGGCGUGGGAAGCAAACGGG